ensembl:lncRNA
GGGGAAUGCUUAAUGUAGAAGGAGGGACUGGGAGCAUGAAAAGGAUUAGACCUACAGUGUUCUGUAAAAGCUGUGCUCCUUCAACAGUUCUCCUAGGGAAGAGGAGAUAACAUUUACUGAGCUGUGAGAUGGUGAAGGGAUGUCUUCUACUGGAUGUUGCAGGCUUAUGCUGAGGAUUUCUCAAUAGACAGAGGCUUUCAUCACCACCUGUCUCCUCCUGACUGCACCACUGAAAUCCAGGCCCAUCUUUGGCACAGCAGGAAGAGUCAUAAAGUCGGUGGUUUGAGUUGGCUGUCCUCAUCCACAAGCAGUCUUCUAAGGCAAACCUAGCUCUGCUGAACUGGGUGCCCAGUGGUCACAACCACCUGAUAUUUCUUUAAUCAUAAACCAGGAGGACAGAGAGGUGCAGAAAUGACCUGGCAAUGUCCUGAUAAAUCUUUACUUGCUCAAGAAUUAUGGCUAAUCAUUUCCAGUCAACCUCAAGAUUUAUUUUGCUGCAUGCUGAGAUUAGCAUUGAGAUUUGUCAUCAUUUGCUGGAUGUUUGGUAUACUGCAGUAAAUAGGUUAAUGGAAAAGAGAAGGAAAAAGAUAUAGCGCUUGCAGUUCCAGAUCUUGGCUACUUCCUCUAUGUCAAGCUGACAAGGAAAUUCAGCUUGUCCUGAAUAGUUGAAACAGAGUUGUUCAGCUUUCUAGAAACCACUUAUUAAUAAAAGUUGUGAAGUGAGAAUUUCA